rnacentral:rRNA from 1 species
UACGAAGGGUGCAAGCGUUAAUCGGAAUUACUGGGCGUAAAGGGUGCGUAGGUGGUUCGUUAAGUCUGUCGUGAAAUCCCCGGGCUCAACCUGGGAAUGGCGAUGGAUACUGGCGAGCUAGAGUGUGUCAGAGGAUGGUGGAAUUCCCGGUGUAGCGGUGAAAUGCGUAGAGAUCGGGAGGAACAUCAGUGGCGAAGGCGGCCAUCUGGGACAACACUGACGCUGAAGCACGAAAGCGUGGGGAGCAAACAGG